rnacentral:rRNA from 1 species
AGUGAACGCUGGCGGUAGGCCUAACACAUGCAAGUCGAACGGCAGCACAGUAAGAGCUUGCUCUUACGGGUGGCGAGUGGCGGACGGGUGAGGAAUACAUCGGAAUCUACUUUUUCGUGGGGGAUAACGUAGGGAAACUUACACUAAUACCGCAUACGACCUACGGGUGAAAGCAGGGGAUCUUCGGACCUUGCGCGAUUGAAUGAGCCGAUGUCGGAUUAGCUAGUUGGCGGGGUAAAGGCCCACCAAGGCGACGAUCCGUAGCUGGUCUGAGGGGAUGAUCAGCCACACUGGAACUGAGACACGGUCCAGACUCCUACGGGAGGCAGCAGUGGGGAAUAUUGGACAAUGGGCGCAAGCCUGAUCCAGCCAUACCGCGUGGGUGAAGAAGGCCUUCGGGUUGUAAAGCCCUUUUGUUGGGAAAGAAAAGCAGCAGGUUAAUACCCCGCUGUUCUGACGGUACCCAAAGAAUAAGCACCGGCUAACUUCGUG